UACGGGGGGGGCAAGCGUUGUUCGGAAUUACUGGGCGUAAAGAGCUCGUAGGCGGUUUGUCGCGUCGAAUGUGAAAACCCGGGGCUCAACCCCGGGCCUGCAUUCGAUACGGGCAGACUAGAGUUCGGUAGGGGAGACUGGAAUUCCUGGUGUAGCGGUGAAAUGCGCAGAUAUCAGGAGGAACACCGGUGGCGAAGGCGGGUCUCUGGGCCGAUACUGACGCUGAGGAGCGAAAGCGUGGGGAGCGAACAGG
rnacentral:rRNA from 1 species